AUACUUACCUGGCAGGGGAGAUACCAUGAUCAGGAAGGUGGUUUUCCCAGGGUGAGGCUUAUCCAUUGCACUCCGGAUGUGCUGACCCCUGCGAUUUCCCCAAAUGUGGGAAACUCGACUGCAUAAUUUGUGGUAGUGGGGGACUGCGUUCGCGCUUUCAAUAA
ensembl:snRNA U1 U1 spliceosomal RNA